AAAAAAAGUAUGCGUUCGGGGGGAAUCGAACCCCCGUCGAAUGCUUGGAAGGCAUCCAUGCUGACCAUUACACCACGAACGCGGUUGAGA
rnacentral:tRNA from 1 species